GACGUAGGGCGCGAGCGUUGUCCAGAUUUAUUGGGCGUAAAGAGCUCGUAGGCGGCUUGUCGCGUCGUCCGUGAAAACCCACAGCUCAACUGUGGGCUUGCGGUCGAUACGGGCAGGCUAGAGUUCGGUAGGGGAGACUGGAAUUCCUGGUGUAGCGGUGAAAUGCGCAGAUAUCAGGAGGAACACCGGUGGCGAAGGCGGGUCUCUGGGCCGAUACUGACGCUGAGGAGCGAAAGCGUGGGGAGCGAACAGG
rnacentral:rRNA from 1 species